rnacentral:rRNA from 1 species
GUCCAGACUCCUACGGGAGGCAGCAGUGGGGAAUAUUGCACAAUGGGGGAAACCCUGAUGCAGCGACGCCGCGUGAAGGAUGAAGUAUUUCGGUAUGUAAACUUCUAUCAGCAGGGAAGAAAAUGACGGUACCUGACUAAGAAGCCCCGGCUAACUACGUGCCAGCAGCCGCGGUAAUACGUAGGGGGCAAGCGUUAUCCGGAUUUACUGGGUGUAAAGGGAGCGUAGACGGCGAUGCAAGUCUGAAGUGAAAGGCGGGGGCCCAACCCCCGGACUGCUUUGGAAACUGUAUGGCUGGAGUGCAGGAGAGGUAAGUGGAAUUCCUAGUGUAGCGGUGAAAUGCGUAGAUAUCAGGAGGAACACCGGUGGCGAAGGCGGCCUGCUGGACUGCAACUGACGUUGAGGCCCGAAAGCGUGGGGAGCAAACAGGAUUAGAUACCCCAGUA